rnacentral:rRNA from 1 species
CCUACGGGUGGCAGCAGUGAGGAAUAUUGGUCAAUGGGCGCGAGCCUGAACCAGCCAAGUCGCGUGAGGGAAGACGGUCCUAUGGAUUGUAAACCUCUUUUGUCGGGGAGCAAAAGACGCUACGUGUGGCGUUCCGAGAGUACCCUACGAAAAAGCAUCGGCUAACUCCGUGCCAGCAGCCGCGGUAAUACGGAGGAUGCGAGCGUUAUCCGGAUUUAUUGGGUUUAAAGGGUGCGCAGGCGGAAGAUCAAGUCAGGGGUAAAAUUGAGAGGCCAAACCUCGCCGAGCCGUUGAAACUGGUGUUCUUGAGUGUGGGAGAGGUAUGCGGAAUGCGUGGUGUAGCGGUGAAAUGCAUAGAUAUCACACAGAACACCGAUUGCGAAGGCAGCAUACCGACGCACAACUGACGCUGAGGCACGAAAGUGUGGGUAGCGAACAGGAUUAGAUACCCGAGUAGUC